rnacentral:rRNA from 1 species
AGAGUUUGAUCAUGGCUCAGGACGAACGCUGGCGGCGUGCUUAACACAUGCAAGUCGAGCGGUAAGGCCUCUUCGGGGGUACACGAGCGGCGAACGGGUGAGUAACACGUGGGUGACCUGCCCUGCACUCUGGGAUAAGCCUGGGAAACUGGGUCUAAUACUGGAUAUUCACAUGUGCCUGCAUGGGUGUGUGUGGAAAG